GCCCGCCUAGCUCAAUCGGAUAGAGCGUGAGACUUUUACGGACUUCCUCUUCUCAGGAUUCGGGAAUCUCAAGGCUGCGGGUUCGACCCCCGCGGUGGGCU
rfam:Trametes pubescens strain FBCC735 TRAPTBscaffold_268, whole genome shotgun sequence.